UACAGAGGGGGCAAGCGUUAUUCGGAAUUAUUGGGCGUAAAGGGCGCGUAGGCGGCAUGGCAAGUGGAUGGUGAAAUCCCUCGGCUUAACCGAGGAACUGCCGUCCAAACUGCUUCGCUUGAGACCGGGAGAGGUGAGUGGAAUUCCCAGUGUAGCGGUGAAAUGCGUAGAUAUUGGGAGGAACACCAGUGGUGAAGGCGGCUCACUGGACCGGUACUGACGCUGAAGCGCGAAAGCGUGGGGAGCAAACGGG
rnacentral:rRNA from 1 species